rnacentral:rRNA from 1 species
UACGAAGGUGGCAAGCGUUGUUCGGAAUCACUGGGCAUAAAGCGCGUGUAGGCGGCUGGGUAAGUCGGGUGUGAAAUCCCUCAGCUCAACUGAGGAACUGCGCCCGAAACUACCUUGCUUGAGGUCUGGAGGGGAGAGUGGAAUUCCCGGUGGAGCGGUGAAAUGCGUAGAUAUCGGGAGGAACGCCGGUGGCGAAAGCGACUCUCUGGACAGAUCCUGACGCUGAGGCGCGGAAAGCUAGGGGAGCGAAACGGG